AUUGAACGCUGGCGGCAGGCCUAACACAUGCAAGUCGAACGAGUGGCGGACGGGUGAUUAAUGUCUGGGAAACUGCCUGAUGGAGGGGGAUAACUACUGGAAACGGUAGCUAAUACCGCAUACCAUCAGAUGUGCCCAGAUGGGAGUAGCUAGUGGGUGGGGUAACGGCUCCCCAAGGCGACGAGCCCUAGCUGGUCUGAGAGGAUGACCAGCCACACUGGAACUGAGAAACGGUCCAGAUUCCUACGGGAGGCAGAAGUGGGGAAUAUGGCACAAUGGGCGCAAGCCUGAUACAGCCAUGCCGCGUGUAUGAAGAAGGCCUUCGGGUUGUAAAGUACUUUCAGCGGGGAGGCGUUACCCGCAGAAGAAGCACCGGCUAACUCCGUGCCAGCAGCCGCGGUAAUUC
rnacentral:rRNA from 1 species